GAAACCUUCGUCUUAACUAAACAUAAGCCCCAAACAAAAUAUAAUGAAAGCAAAAUAAAAGUAAAAUAAAAAUAAAGCUCAGACUUGGUUCCUUACAACCCAUUAGAUGAAUGGGCAGUUUUCAAUACUCCCCUUUGUAAUAAAGGUGAUCAGCCAAAUCAGUAUAUGUUUUACACUUGUAAUUAACUACAACAAUUGUUUAUUACUUAGUCUUACCAGAAUGACUGACUGAUUUGAGUUCAGCAAAGUACUAAAUUACUCCCCUACUAAUAUCCUACUAAAUAAUAAAAAAAUGGAAAACUUUAUUAAAAUCAAUGGAAACACAGAAAGCAAAAUAAUGAACAAGCAUAUCAUGAGAUGUUGCACUGAAACAAAAAUAAACUCAUUUUCAUAUGAAUUGGCAAAUCAUGCACAUGGCCAUUAGAGCAAAUUUCGGUGUUAACGCCACAUGAAUCAAAUGGUAUUUCUUAGCUCAAAAGAGUAGAAAAAUAUGUUCAUUAAUAACACAUUCAGUGACACUUACCAACUCAAUUGCUAUCAUUAAGGUGACCAACUUUUUACAAUGAAAAGGAGGACACAAAUAAAUUGAAGGAAAAAAUACUGUAAAUAAAAGAAGCAUUGUAUUCAUUGCAACAAUAAUACAGUAUGAUAAUUUCUAUAUAAUAUUUCCUAUUCAUCUUUCACAAGUAUUUCUUCAAUGACUUUGAAACUGUUUAAUAUUAACUCUCUCUUUUUAUACUAAAAUUCUUAUUGUCAACUUUGAAGAUGACCUAUUUUCUAUUUUAUAAUCAAGUCUGAAUUAAACAAUAUAAGCUUUUGCACUUGCUCAGUUUGUCAUUCUUUUGAAAUUAUUUAUUGUAACAAGAACAAUUAAGCAACAUGUCUGCUGAAGAAUGCUAAGGAAAGAAGACACAAAUGAAAAUAAUUAUAUAGAAAAUGAAUUUAAAAAACCGAAUCAUAACUUGGAUUUCUGUUUAGAUAAAAACAAACAGAUGAAAAAUUCAUGCAUAUAAAGUCACUGAUAAAUUAUGGAGGGAUGGAGUUUCAAAGUAAUAUAAUUAAGGAUUGUUUCUGGAACAUCGUCUCCAUUUUCCUCAGAUGACUACAUUUGACAGAUAAUGGUCGAAAUGCUUUCCUCAACUGAUGUUUAUUUGGGUAUUUGAAGACAUCACUGGUUCUGUCUGUGUAUUUAAUUUAAUUCAUGCUCAGAAGAUUAACUUUUGAUUAGAAAUGCUACAGUUUAUCAGCUAAAUUAUUUUGCAUGAUGUAUUUAAUUAAAAUAUGUUAAAUGUUAAAUUUUUUAUUUGUGUAUAAAUAAAUAUUUUCUUAAAAAAAAAAGAUAGAAAUUAAAAAUUUGAAUUUUACAUGUUACAUGGUGCCACUUUUAUGUUUUAAAUUGACUGUUCAGUUACAUUGAAGUCAGCCUUGAAGUAGAGAAUUGGUAUAGUUUUAUUGUAACUAUUCAAUGAAUUGAAAGUUGUUUUGGGAUGAGCAAACACUUUAAGGAAGAAAUUCAGUGUUGUUUGAGUGUUUCUUCUUAUGAGUGGUAUCCUUUUUUGUGCCGUCAUCUUCACUUGGGUACAUACCUGAUUAGAAGGGAAGAAAGAAGA